rnacentral:rRNA from 1 species
UUCCGGUUGAUCCUGCCGGAGGUCACUGUUAUCAGGUUUCGACUUAGCCAUGCGAGGCGUGAGUCAUCUGGACUCGCCGAACUGCUCAGUAACACGUAGCUAACUUACCCUCAAGUGGAGGAUAAUCCUGGGAAACUGGGGCUAAUACUCCAUAGCUGUUAAAUGCUGGAAUGCUUUAACAGCAAAAGCUACGGCGCUUGAGGAUAGGGCUGCGGCUUAUCAUGGCAGUUGUGAGUAUAAAAUACUCACAAACCUAUAACGGGUAGGGGUCAUGAGAGUGGUAGCCUCGAGAUGCUUUCUGAGACAUGAAAGCAGGUCCUACGGGACGCAGCAGGCGCGAAAACUUUCCAAUAGCUUAACGGCUGAGAAGGGAAGCCUGAGUGACUAUGCACUGCAUAGUCUUUUGUUUUGCCUAAAAAGCAAGACGAAUAAGUGGUGGGUAAGACGGGUGGCAGCCGCCGCGGUAAUACCCGCGCCACGAAUGGUGACCGCUAUUAUUGGGUCUAAAGCGUCCGUAGCCGGUUCAACAAGUUCUUGGUGAAAUCCAGCAGUUAACUGUUGGGCUUGCUGAGAAUACUGUUGAACUUUGAGAUCGGGAGAGGAGAGAGGUACUCCACGUGGAGGGGUUAAAUCCUUUAAUCCGUGGAGGACCUCCGGUGGCGAAGGCGUCUUUCUGGAACGAGUCUGACGGUGAGGGACGAAAGCUAGGCGAGCAAACGGGAUUAGAUACCCCGGUAGUCCUAGCCGUACACGAUGCCCGCUUGAUGUUGCGAACUUUACGGGAGUUUGCAGUGUCGGAGCGUAGGUGUUAAGCGGGCCACCUGUGGAGUACGACCGCAGGGUUGAACUUAAAGGAUUUGACGGAGAGCACACAAAGGGGUGAAGACUGAGUUUAAUUGGAAUCAGCGCCGA